rnacentral:ncRNA from 1 species
CCACUAGGGGGCCUUUUUUAAGGCUGAGAUAGGUUUGUCCUGACCCUUGGACCUGAUCUGGUUAGUACCAGCGGAGGAAAU